rnacentral:rRNA from 1 species
CACGGAGUUAGCCGGAGCUUAUUCUCCCGGUACUGUCAUUAUCAUCCCGGGUAAAAGAGCUUUACAACCCUAAGGCCUUCAUCACUCACGCGGCAUUGCUGGAUCAGGCUUUCGCCCAUUGUCCAAUAUUCCCCACUGCUGCCUCCCGUAGGAGUCUGGGCCGUGUCUCAGUCCCAGUGUGGCUGAUCAUCCUCUCAGGCCAGCUAAGGAUCGUCGGCUUGGUGCGCCUUUACCACACCAACUACCUAAUCCUACGCGGGCUCAUCCCUCGGCGAUAAAUCUUUGGACUUACGUCAUCAUCCGGUAUUAGCAGUCGUUUCCAACUGUUAUUCCGAACCAAGGGGCAGAUUCCCACGCGUUACGCACCCGUGCGCCACUAAACCCGAAGGCUUCGUUCGACUUGCAUGUGUUAGGCAUGCCGCCAGCGUUCAUUCUGAGCCAGGAUCAAACUCU